GUGAGGAAUUUUCCGCAAUGGGCGAAAGCCUGACGGAGCAAUGCCGCGUGAAGGAUGAAGGCCUAUGGGUUGUAAACUUCUUUUCUCAGAAAAGAAUUAUGACGGUAUCUGAGGAAUAAGCAUCGGCUAACUCUGUGCCAGCAGCCGCGGUAAGACAGAGGAUGCAAGCGUUAUCCGGAAUGAUUGGGCGUAAAGCGUCUGUAGGUUGUUUAAAAAGUAUUCUGUCAAAGAUUAGGGCUUAACCCUAGAUAGGCAGAAUAAACUUUUAAGCUAGAGUUUGGUAGAGGCAGAGGGAAUUCCCGGUGGAGCGGUGAAAUGCGUAGAUAUCGGGAGGAACACCAAAGGCGAAGGCACUCUGCUGGGCCAAUACUAACACUGAGAGACGAAAGCUAGGGGAGCAAAUGGGAUUAGAUACCCGUGUAGUCC
rnacentral:rRNA from 1 species